AGGAAGUCAAAAUUUCAUACUGGAAUAGAUAAAGGUCAGGCAGCUUGUGAGAAGCAGCUUUUCAAGGCAGAACUGAUGGCAGCUUGUAAAUUCAUCCUGAUUAUCUCUCAGCUAGUCCCACUACAAUAAGUGUGAUUGUUGAUGAAGUAAAGCAUGACAACUUCUGACCCUUCAUAGCCAGGUAAUGGACAAAUCUCCUCACAACAGAACUGAUGAAUUUCAUGUUACUUCAUGUUGCAGAACAGGGUCCAGAAGUGUCACUGAAUUAAAGGGUCCCUAAUUAUGGUUUGGAAUCUUUGACUUGGCAAACUGGAUUUGAAACAGAAUACAUCAAAAUGAAUAAUUGGUUGAGAACUUACAAUUACAUGCACAGAACCACAUUCUAAGUCAGUUGCUUCCACGUAAAUCCAAGUAAAAGCUUUAACAUUGAUGUAAUUAAUUCAGAUUUACCUGGCUAUAACUCAGACCAGAAUAUGGCCCAGUAUGAUGCAUUUUUUUCUCCACAUAAAAAUGAAUGACUUAUGUAAGUGUGGGUGGAAGGAGAGAGAGAAAAAAAAUACUACCAGCACAAUCUGCUCGUGUUGAAGUGAAUGGGGAUUUUGUCAUGCUUUCAAAGAGAGCAAGAUCAGACUGCAUAAAGGUAACCAUGAGCUGUUUAUCUAUAGCAGAAUGAAAAGGUGUUAAUUAUAAUGGUAGCAACAAAAACUAAGUCUCACAUGAUAGUAAAUUCACAAGAUAUUUGUUGUUUUUAUUAUUGUUAUUAUUAUUUUAAUGUACCAAGAUUUUUGCUCCACUGUGCUACUCACUAUAGCCUCAUUCAACUCUCAUUCUAUUAACUAAGAACUUCCUAACAUUUCUGGAAAUGUAGUUCUAUCAUUUGAUUGUUUAUGCACCACGAGCAACCACUAAUUUCAAAGGCAUGCCAGGAAUGCUGGACUGGACCCAAGAAGUGAAAAUACAUCAGCAAAAUUAUCAUGAUAAUAACUGACUAUUGUUACUAAGUAUUUGUGAAUAUCAGUCAAUGGGAGUUUGCAUGUAAAAUGGAUGAAAAGUAUAAUAUUCUCAGUCUGCUAGCUAGAAACAGGAUUUAUGCUGUAUCUUUUAAAUAAUUGCAUUGACUCAAUGUUUAUGUAAUUUAUUCUUAGCCUUCCU